rnacentral:rRNA from 2 species
UACGGAAGGUCCGGGCGUUAUCCGGAUUUAUUGGGUUUAAAGGGAGCGUAGGCCGCUUUGUAAGCGUGUUGUGAAAUUUGCCGGCUCAACCGGUAACUUGCAGCGCGAACUGCAGAGCUUGAGUGUGCGCAACGUUGGCGGAAUUCGUCGUGUAGCGGUGAAAUGCUUAGAUAUGACGAAGAACUCCGAUUGCGAAGGCAGCUGACGGGAGCACUACUGACGCUGAAGCUCGAAAGUGCGGGUAUCGAACAGG